GGUAUUAAAUACCCCAAAGACUCGAUAGCAUGAAAAGAAAUCACUGCAUGACUUUAGUAGCAUAAUGGUACUAGCUUGCUAAUAAUAUAUUCACUUAGAUAUUUUUGUCAAACAAUUGAUAUACAUGAGCUUGUGCAUGAUUGAAAUCACUUAAUAACAUGUUAUGCUUGGACUAGUCAAUUCACAUAAGCAUUUUAUCAAAACUUGGGGGCAUGGGUAUUAUACAUAUCAAUAACAUGUAGUAAUAUCAUAG
rnacentral:lncRNA from 1 species